GAUCCUGGCUCAGGACGAACGCUGGCGGCGCGCCUAACACAUGCAAGUCGAACGAGCGAGAGAGAGCUUGCUUUCUCUAGCGAGUGGCGAACGGGUGAGUAACGCGUGAGGAACCUGCCUCAAAGAGGGGGACAACAGUUGGAAACGACUGCUAAUACCGCAUAAGCCCACGACCCGGCAUCGGGUAGAGGGAAAAGGAGCAAUCCGCUUUGAGAUGGCCUCNCGUCCGAUUAGCUAGUUGG
rnacentral:rRNA from 1 species